CCUUGGGGCAGGCCUCAAGGGAAGGCUGGGGCUGGGGGCGCGAUUUUCCAAGAUCCCUAGCCUGCGGCGCCCCCUCCUCAGUAACCUGAGCGCUCGCCUCCCCCGGGACUCGCUCCGGGCCAAGGGAUGCGGGAUGCGCCGGGAGGUGCCAGGAUGCGCGGCGCUGCAGGCGCGGCCCAGGGCCCCUCAGGGGUCGCGUCACCGAGCAGGCGAAGCCAAGAGCUGGAUCGCCUAUGCCUCCCGCCCUGCGGGAGGGGGUCUGGGGACCUCAAAGUGGAGAAGAAGCUGGUUCAAGGUCACCUAGAAAUUUAGCAGCAAGUUGGAAAGAAGAACUCAAGACUCCAGACUGUACAACGCUAUUUAAUGUCUGACUAAAGGUCACCUCCUCCGGGAAGCCUUCCCUGAACUCAUCCCAUCUUCUGCGUUACAUCGCAUAUACUUCGACUGCUGCUAAGUCACUUCAGUCAUGUCCAACUCUAUGCUACCCCAUAGACAGCAGCCCACCAGGCUCCCCUGUCUCUGAGAUUCUCCAGGCAAGAACACUGGAGUGGGUUGUCAUUUCCUUCUCCAGCGCAUGAAAGUGGAAAGUGAAAGUGAAGUCGCUCAGUUGUGUCUGACUCUUAGCGACCCCAUGGACUGCAGCCCACCAGGCUCCUCCAUCCAUGGGAUUUUCCAGGCAAGAGUACUGGAGUGGGGUGCCAUUGCCUUCUCCAAUAUACCUCGACAGGACACCCUUUAUCACAACAAGCCACUUCAGUGAAAUCUGUCCCUGCUAGAGUGAGACAUCCUUGAGAUAAGGGACUGCAUCUUAUUCACCCUUGUGUGGUAUGGCUGGUGUUUAUUACAUAAGCAUUGUUGUUUAUUGUGUGUCUACUAUGUGCCAAGGCGCUUAUGUAAUGCUCACUCCCCUUCACAAUUGUCCUACAAGGUAGGUAAUAUUGUCUUCAUUUUACAGAUGGGGAAAAAAAAAGUCUCCUGGAGCUCAAAGUGGCUUGUCCAAGUUCCCCCCAGGGAGUGAGUGGCAGAGUUGGGAUUUGAAUCCAAAAUGCUUUUGCACCUCCUACACCACCAGUGCUGCCGUGGUGUUUGUUCAGCAUCCAGCUGAGGGCAGCGUGGCCCUCACGGCGGGCCCUCUCAACUGGGCUGUGGAGCAGCCGGAAGUACAGAGCCCAGCUCACCCACCAUCCUGGGAGAAAGAAAUUGCAAAGGGGGGAAAAGAAUUUGACCUUCACGGAGCUCACAAUCCACUGGAGAGAUGGCUCAGACACCAGUGGAGGAGCCAAUAGAACAAAUGCAGUCCAUCACAAACUCUUUUUAAAAUGUAUUAUGUGUAGGAAUGACACCCCUCAUAGAAAAUCCCAGGAUUUUCUCUUCUGUGUGUUUCUGUCUCGCUUCCUUGCAGCCAUGAUACUAGCUGAGGUCAUCGGUGCAAUGAGAUGAAAGAAGAUGAUCCUGUCACUUUUCUAGAUCUUUGAGUGAUACGUCAAAUUCAAGGCUAAUCACACUUACUUGACCUGUGUGUGAGUUUCCCAAUGAUGUUCUUGCUCUGCGAUCAUCAAUGAUUUCCAGUUCGCCGAUGCAGCCACGCUUCAUCAUCACAAUAGCAACCAUGUAACCCUUUCAAGGAAAGUCUUCCACUACAAAACAAACAGCAGUUAAAAGCCAGGUGAUGACUUUGGCGCAUGGCCUAAAUGAACUUUAGUUUGUCUUUCUUCUCAGCAUUUUCAAAGUUCCUAAGGACGUUCAUGUGCACUAUUGUAGCAGCAUGGAAAGAUGGCAGAAAGAAACGGCUUAUUUUUUGUUCUCAUAUCCAUCUAUCCAUCCAUUCAUUCAUCUACUCAUUUAUGUGUUCAGCUGGAUAAGUACUCUCCCUUUCUCUACCUACCAUCCCUCCAUCCAUCUAUCCACUCAUUUGUGUGUCCAAAAUAUACUGAGCCCAGCCCUUAAGCCAGGCACUAGGCUAUACAGGGAGACACCAGACAUAACCCAAACAACAUGAUUCUGGCUCUUCUAUUUCUCAGUCUAGCGGCACUGUGAGCUGUGAAUCAAAGAAUCACUUUAAGUAUGAUUACAAAACUUUGUGAGAGCUAUGAAAAAGUUCAGGAUAUCAUGAGGGCCUCUAACAGGGGUCCAACAAGGUCUAGGGAAUCAGGGAGGGCUUCUCAGAGGAGGUGACAUUUCAGCUACUCCCCAAAGGAUCCACAGCGGUAAUGUGGAUAAGCCAGUGGGAGGAGCAGGGAUGUGCAAAGGCCCAGAGGUGGGAAAGAGUUUGGUGUGUUAAAGCAGCAGAGAGAGGAAACUGGAGUGACCACUGAGAAUGGAUCAGGGGUGAGCCUGGGGCAAGUCGAGGUGGGCAAGGUCCCCAUGCAGGGCCUAGCAUGGGUUUGAGGUUUUUAUCCUAAGAGCCAUGGAAGUUACUGAAGGGAGGUUUUUUCUUUUUUUUUU
ensembl:lncRNA